CGUCGUCAUAGCGAGACCGGUAACCCGGUUGCUGACAACGGCUGAGUUCGGAUUCAAAUUCUGUGAUGACGGC
rnacentral:tRNA from 1 species